rnacentral:rRNA from 1 species
CAAAAACAUAGCUAAAUGUCAUUAUAUUUGGUGUUUUCUGCUCAAUGAUAUAAUUAAAUAGCCGCAGUACCUUGACUGUGCAAAGGUAGCAUAAUCAAUUGGCUUAUAAUUGAAGUCUGGAAUGAAAGGAUAUACGGGUAAUUACUGUAUCUGAUAUUUAUACUGAAAUUGAUCUCCAAGUGCAAAUACUUGCAAUUAAUUGUUAGACGAGAAGACCCUAGAAAUUUGUGUAAAUGUUUAGUUGGGGCAACGUGGUAAGAAAUAACUUACAAUAAGGACAUGAAAAAAUGAUUUGAAAGAAAAAAUUACUCUAGGGAUAACAGCAUAAUUUAUUAAAGUUUGUGACCUCGAUGUUGGAUUUGGGAAUUAUAGUCCAGAAGACUUUUAAUUUUGCUCUGUUCGAGCGUAGCAC